UACGUAGGGUGCAGGCGUUAAUCGGAAUUACUGGGCGUAAAGCGUGCGCAGGCGGUUUGCUAAGACCGGUGUGAAAUCCCCGGGCUUAACCUGGGAACUGCGCUUGUUACUGGCAAGCUUGAGUGUGGCAGAGGGGGGUGGAAUUCCACGUGUAGCAGUGAAAUGCGUAGAGAUGUGGAGGAACACCGAUGGCGAAGGCAGCCCCCUGGGCUAACACUGACGCUCAUGCACGAAAGCGUGGGGAGCAAACAGG
rnacentral:rRNA from 1 species